CUCAGCAAAGAAGCAAGCAGAGACAUAAACAGACCACCAGGCAGCUUCUGACAAAAGUCAAACCAGAAGCCUUUGGAAAUAACAAUACUGCUGGUCAAAAUGAGGGACUUUUGUAUGGUCAUCUGGAUUCUCCUCUCUGAAGUGGCUGCUGAGGCAUCAGAUAUCAGAGUGUCAGGACAUGUUGGAGGAUCAGUGAAGAUCCAGUGUUCUCACCUGUUUGCUAGAACCAACACAAAGUAUUUCUGCAGGGAUCCGUGUGAAAAAGAUCAGCACAUUUUGAUUAAAUCUGGUCGGUCACCUACUGGAAGAUACACACUGAAGGAUUCAGGGAAAGGAGACUUCACUGUGACCAUCACUUGCCUCCAGAAAUCAGACGCUGGAACUUACUGGUGUGGGGUGGACAGAUUGGUGAAGGACACGUAUCACAAGGUGCUCCUCACCGUCACAGAUGCACUGACUCCCCGCAAAACCAUACAGAAAGUUAUUCCAACAGCAGUGAGAUUUGAUGAAUCGUCCUCCUCACCAUCCACCAGCUCUCGCUUCACACCUAACCUGACAACUCCCACUCCACAAUCACUCAACAUCUCAUCACUACCCACAGAUCUCUUUUAUGGGCAUACAGGUGUCCUGCUGUACGCUGCUGCUGGGCUGGGUGGAUUGUCAUUGCUCAUAUUUGUGUUCAUUGCUCACUUUGCGUGUAAGAGGACAGUCAACAGAUCCCAAGGUAAGCGCACAAAUAUUCACCAGAAUUUCUUGCACAGGGACUCUGUCCAUAACAGAGGUUCCCAAAUGUUUUGUCUCAGGAGGCCAACCAGCCUGUGUGUAAUUUUCACCAAGGCCCUGUAGGAAUGUUGUUUCAUUCCACUGUAAACUUCUGCAUGGCUGGGUGCCAAAGUUCUUCCAGGUCUUGAUCUUCAAUAAGUCUUGACUGGCAGCAACAUACGUGUUGUUACAUCUGCACAAAUGGGGGUGCAAUGCUCUUAUAAUGAGCUUGUUAAGGCUUAACAGUCUGAUGGCUGGUAGAUAACUGGUUGAUACUUACUACUUUAUUAAGAAAUGACUGGGGUAAAUUGAGCUUUUUGCAAAGCAUUUUCACCAUAAAUGCAUCAUAAUCUUGGGCACAGUUCUGAGCAUGAAUGCUAGGUCUAUAUGGAAUGUGCAUAUUAAUGAACUCAAUCAUUUAUAAACCCCAGCUUUUAUUAAGCCUUAAUCAGCUAGAAAAGUUAUUAAACAAUAAAGUAAAUUAACAUUUUGAUAAUGUGGAUAAUUCUGAUCUUUGUGGGAAAAAAAAAGUUUAAAGUUACACUAAAUUGUCUUAAAAAAUAAAAAUGAUAAAACGGUUAUUUGGAGACUUUAGAUGACUUUUGGUUCCCUGUAAAUGAUUCGUGAGCAGAAAUAAACUUUUCCAAGUUUUUUUCUUAAAAUCUUUACAUUUUCUGAAGGAUAUUUAAACUUCAUAUUCACACAAAAAGGUCCUCCUCCUUUAAACAGCCUUGGUCCAUGGGUUAAGUUUAUUUUUCUUCUCUCAUUUUUCAGGUCCUGGAUUAUAUACUGUGUAUGCAGAAGUAAAAGGAGUUCAGUCUGAAGUAAGUGGUCAACCAGCCAAACAGAUCAUCAUCAUCAUCAUCAUCAUCCACUGAAUCACAUGAAGAGACUCUGGAGAACCCUCUGUACAGCACUGUGGACCUGAAGGAAAGACUAGAUUUAAACAUCUACUCUGCAGCCUACUGACUUACUAAUCACUCUGAUAACCUGCUUAUUCAUCAUGCUGCAGGAACCUUCUCAUGCUUAUGUAGUUUAGAGCUAUUAAGUAGCAAAAUCAGAUAUGCUGAUGUUCUAGCAUCUCAUUUUUGGUUGUGUUAAAUGUAGCCUGUAUUAGAGGAAAGAUUCUAAUAGAAAGUCCAUAUAUUUUAUAAAUCCACUUGCAUGUUUAUUGUAAACUAUUUGGAACAUUUUCAGUACAUAAAACUAACGUCUCAGCCAGUAAACAAACAUCUCUAUCUGAACUGUUUUAAUUCUUUCAGUAUGAUGUAUUUGUAUGAAUGCGCAGGAACUUUCAGGUAGGUGAAGGUGGUGUUAGGA